rnacentral:rRNA from 1 species
GGCGGCGUGCUUAACACAUGCAAGUCGCACGAGAACUCUUUAAGCUUGCUUAAAGAUAGUAAAGUGGCGCACGGGUGAGUAACGCGUGGGCAAUCUACCUCCGAAUUGGGGAUAACUCCGCGAAAGCGGGGCUAAUACCGAAUAAUAUCCCAAGAACUUUGGCUUUUGGGAUCAAAUGUGGCCUCUACAUGUAAGCUACUGUUUGGAGAUGAGCCCGCGUACCAUUAGCUUGUUGGUAGGGUAAUGGCCUACCAAGGCGACGAUAGUUAGCUGGUCUGAGAGGAUGAUCAGCCACACUGGAACUGACACACGGUCCAGACUCCUACGGGAGGCAGCAGUGAGGAAUUUUGCGCAAUGGGGGAAACCCUGACGCAGCAACGCCGCGUGAGUGAUGAAGGCUUUCGAGUCGUAAAACUCUGUCAAGUGAGAAGAAUCUGUCCCGCGCUAAUACCGCGAGAUACUGACGGUAUCACUGAAGGAAGCACCGGCUAACUCCGUGCCAGCAGCCGCGGUAAUACGGGGGGUGCAAGCGUUAUUCGGAAUCAUUGGGCGUAAAGGGCGCGCAGGCGGUCUUUUAAGUCAGAUGUGAAAGCCCGGGGCUCAACCCCGGAAGUGCAUUUGAAACUGAGAGACUUGAGUAUGGGAGAGGGAAGUGGAAUUCCUGGUGUAGAGGUGAAAUUCGUAGAUAUCAGGAGGAACACCGGUGGCGAAGGCGACUUCCUGGACCAAUACUGACGCUGAGGCGCGAAGGCGUGGGGAGCAAACAGGAUUAGAUACCCUGGUAGUCCACGCAGUAAACGGUGAACACUAGGUGUAGCGGGUAUUGACCCCUGCUGUGCCG